CCUACGGGGGGCAGCAGUGGGGGAUAUUGCACAAUGGGGGGAACCCUGAUGCAGCGACGCCGCGUGGGGGAAGACGGUCCUCUGGAUUGUAAACCACUGUCCCCAGGGACGAAAAUGACGGUACCUGGGGAGGAAGCUCCGGCUAACUACGUGCCAGCAGCCGCGGUAAUACGUAGGGAGCGAGCGUUGUCCGGAAUUACUGGGUGUAAAGGGAGCGUAGGCGGGGAUGCAAGUUGGGUGUCAAAACUACCGGCUCAACUGGUAGUCGCACUCAAAACUGCAGCUCUUGAGUGAAGUAGAGGCAGGCGGAAUUCCUGGUGUAGCGGUGAAGUGCGUAGAUAUUAGGAGGAACACCAGUGGCGAAGGCGGCCUGCUGGGCUUUUACUGACGCUGAGGCUCGAAAGUGUGGGGCGCAAACAGGAUUAGAUACCCUGUAGUC
rnacentral:rRNA from 1 species